rnacentral:rRNA from 1 species
CCUACGGGAGGCAGCAGUGAGGAAUAUUGGUCAAUGGACGAGAGUCUGAACCAGCCAAGUAGCGUGAAGGAUGACUGCCCUCUGGGUUUUAAACUUCUUUUAUAAAGGAAUAAAACGAGGCACGUGUGCCUUUUUGCAUGUACUUUAUGAAUAAGGAUCGGCUAACUCCGUGCCAGCAGCCGCGGUAAUACGGAGGAUCCGAGCGUUAUCCGGAAUUAGUGGGUUUAAAGGGAGCGUAGAUGGGUUGUUAAGUCAGUGGUGAAAGUUUGCGGUUCAACCGUAAAAUUGCAAUUGAUACUGGCUGUCUUGAGUACAGUUGAGGUAGGCGGAAUUCGUGGUGUAGCGGUGAAAUGCUUAGAUAUCACGCAGAACCCCGAUUGCGAAGGCAGCUUACUAGACUGUGACUGACAUUGAUGCUCGAAAGUGUGGGUAUCAAACAGGAUUAGAUACCCCGGUAGUC